rnacentral:lncRNA from 1 species
GAAUUAAAUCAAUUUAAAUGUUUGAAACAUUAUUUUAUAAAAAGUAAAAACAUAGUAAUUUGUAAACACAAUUGUUAAUUGUUUACAAGCCAUAUAUGGUCAUGUUUAUUCACAAAUUCAAUCAUGCAUGUCGGCAUGUUUGUAAAAAUGUUCAACCAUGCAUAAGUAAUGACAUGGUACAUAUUGUUGUUUUAUUCAUAAACAUUAUAGGGAAAAAAAAAAGAUAAACAUGUGUAAUCACGAUUUAAAUGACUUAACUUGUGUAAUACAUAUACACGACGACAUACAAUAGAUCAGUAGAAACUUAAACAAAAAUUGCAUACUUACCAAAUGUUAUAAAAUAAGUUAAAUCCUGUUUAUAUAAGAAUAUUUAGACACAAUCAAUAAUGCGAUAACGCACAUGCUUGCUGAAACAACACUAACUAUGCCCAAUUUCUUUCAAUGGAAUACGGAUCAUUUGAUAAAAUCGAUAACGGAAAAGAUUCCGGAAAAGUUAAUGUAUAAAAAAAGGGAAAGAAAUUAUUUAACAAAGAUCUGUAUGUGUAUUCACAAUAUUUAUUUUAAAUAAUUGUGAAAUCAAUUGUACUAUAGAUACUAAUAUUAUGAAUAAGUUAUAUCUUACCAAAUAGUGCUUCCCUAAACUAUUAGGUAAACUAACAUGAGGGAUACUAAGUUACAAGCUGUAAACUUAGUAAAUUGUUACAGCAAAUAUGCAAUUAAGAUAUUAUUACGUUUAAAAAAAAAAAAA